GACGAACCGUGCAAACGUUGUUCGGAAUCACUGGGCUUAAAGGGCGCGUAGGCGGUCGACCAAGUCCGGGGUGAAAUCUUUCGGCUUAACCGGAAAAGUGCCUUGGAUACUGGCCGGCUGGAGGGAGGUAGGGGCAGGUGGAACUUCCAGUGGAGCGGUGAAAUGCGUUGAUAUUGGAAGGAACGCCGGUGGCGAAGGCGACUCUUUGGCCUGUAACUGACGCUGAGGCGCGAAAGCGUGGGGAGCAAACAGG
rnacentral:rRNA from 1 species